ACUCUCACUUCGAAAUCAAAGUCCCCAGAUGAUGCGGAUUCGUCUCGCUGUUUCUAAUCUAUUUGCAUAGCCUCUCUCUCGCUCUGUGAUCUGUCUCUAGCGCGUUUUUUAACGCGCCUGUGCUACUUAUGUAGGUCGAUAACGAAAGUAUCUGCAGCUGAUCUAGUCGAUGGAACAGGCCGUCCUUCUUAAUUCUUACUGUCACGCGCGACGACUGCUCCAUUCUAUACAUUCUUCGGCAAGAAAAGCGGGGCGCGCGAAGCGACGUUGUGCUCUACCUAUGCGCUGAUGUAAUUUUAUUUUUGCUGUCUCUUUUGGCUCGGAGAAAAAAGUACCUACUUAUGUGCGCUUACGUAAAUAAAUGAAGUGAUCAACAACUAAA